AACGAACGCUGGCGGCAGGCCUAACACAUGCAAGUCGAACGAGAAGCAGUCCUUCGGGAUUGUGGAAAGUGGCAGACGGGUGAGUAACGCGUGGGAAUCUACCCAGUGGUACGGAAUAACUCAGGGAAACUUGGGCUAAUACCGUAUGUGCCCGCAAGGGGAAAGAUUUAUCGCCAUUGGAUGAGCCCGCGUCUGAUUAGCUUGUUGGUGGGGUAACGGCCACCAAGGCGACGAUCAGUAGCUGGUCUGAGAGGAUGAUCAGCCACACUGGGACUGAGACACGGCCCAGACUCCUACGGGAGGCAGCAGUGGGGAAUAUUGGACAAUGGGCGCAAGCCUGAUCCAGCCAUGCCGCGUGAGUGAUGAAGGCCCUAGGGUUGUAAAGCUCUUUCGCACGCGAAGAUAAUGACGGUAGCGUGACAAGAAGCCCCGGCUAACUUCGUG
rnacentral:rRNA from 1 species